rnacentral:piRNA from 1 species
GAGCCUCGGUUGGCCCCGGAUAGCCGGGUCCC